rnacentral:rRNA from 1 species
CCUACGGGUGGCAGCAGUGAGGAAUAUUGGUCAAUGGGCGCGAGCCUGAACCAGCCAAGUAGCGUGAAGGAUGACUGCCCUACGGGUUGGAAACUUCUUUUAUAAAGGAAUAAAGUGAGGCACGUGUGCCUUUUUGUAUGUACUUUAUGAAUAAGGAUCGGCUAACUCCGUGCCAGCAGCCGCGGUAAUACGGAGGAUCCGAGAGUUAUCCGGAUUUAUUGGGUUUAAAGGGAGCGUAGGUGGGUUGUUAAGUCAGUUGUGAAAGUUUGCGGCUCAACCGUAAAAUUGCAAUUGAUACUGGCGGUCUUGAGUGCAGUUGAGGUAGGCGGAAUUCGUGGUGUAGCGGUGAAAUGCUUAGAUAUCGCGAAGAACUCCGAUUGCGAAGGCAGCUUACUAAGCUGCCACUGACAUUGAUGCUCGAAAGUGUGGGUAUCAAACAGGAUUAGAUACCCGUGUAGUC